GUGAGACGGUGACGUAGGGUGGCCCGAGAACGUGCCUGCCAAUGGCUGGACGGCGAGAGACGGCGAGAGCCAACGGGAGCGGAGUGAGAGGCUCUCUGACCAAUUGAAGUGUCCAGAGCAGCAAAGUGAGCCUGCAUCACAAGUUAAAGCACACGACUGACUUCACCCUGAAUUUCUAAAUUUGAACUACGUGAAACCUAUGCUGUCAGUCAGGCAAGCAUUAGCUGCAUGAGAUGUGCUGUAAAAGCCAUUCCAGAUGCUAAUCAGAUCUUGAAAACCUGGUAUACUUCGUACCCCCCACACACACACAUACGGGUUGCCUUGCUACCAUGGGACGUGUGCAUGAAAGGCAUUUUCAAUACUGUGCAGUUAUCAAUGAGCGGAUAGCCCACAUGCUGCACAAGGAAGCAUGCCCAGAGGAUAGUAGAAGUUCAAAGGAAGAUUAUUUAAUUCAGCUGGGCCGUUAUGACUUUCCAGAACAGGUGGUACUCAUUCUUUAUCGCAUUCAUAAAUCUUUACUGAGGUCUGUGGUGUGCCAAGUUCAGGAGUGUCAGGUGGUAAACAAGAAAGAUAGGGUUUCUGACUUUACCCUGGCUAGUGGAUGAAGACAGAACUUUAUAUAAGAAACAGAGGAAAUGAGCCAAGUUGUCUUCCAGUGGUACUGCGAAGAAAACAGCAUAUAGCCACAAAACAAAAGAUGACAUUAAAGUGAGGGUGUCCGGGAGGUGGUUAGGAAGGGUUUCUCUGAAAUCGUGACGCUCACGGAGUCUUGAGGGCUGAGAAGUUGCCAGGCUCUCUGAAGCUCUAGGGACAGAGCGAUGGUAGGAAGGAUCUGCAUGGGCUGGGGGCCUGAGAAAGGCACAGGCCUGGUGUGUGUGGAGGACUGCAAUCUAAGGCCCAUGCGUAAACUGCAUUCUGAGUAAGUUUUUGCACACAGGGAGAGGACAGGACAGAGGGGAGGAGAGGGUGAUCAUUUCGGAGAAAAGGAUCCAUGAGCUGCACGAUGUAGGAAUUGAAACUUAAACCGAGCUAGUAAAGUGAAAGCUACAGGGGACAACAGAGAGCGUGCUGUGUUGCAUUGGAUUUGUUGUGCAAAAUGUCAACAGGGCAGGAUGCAGUUUUCCCCUAUGUCCUUGAGAAGAAGAGGAAUGAGUUAUUGUAUUGUGUCCUCCCCACACCGCAGUCCUGACAGCCACCUACUUUGUCAGCAUGAGUGUUUGCUGAGUGCCUGCUAUUCCCCAGAGAGUGUAACAAGUGCCUCACAUAAAUUGGUUCUCCCAUUAACCACAAUGAUACGCAAACCCAUUUCCCUGCCACCAUUUUUUAAAAGAAAAAUCACAAUUGUGUUUAAAGGUAGUAUAGUCUAGGUAGGAAUAAGAUCCCUUGCUGAGCAAGGGACAGUGGGUAAUUUCUAGUGAGAGGCCUCAGAGGACAGCAUUUCUUAUCCUGGUGAAUCUUACCGCGUGGAAAGAUAGAUUGGGCUUGGAAGACUUCAUUUAACAUCAUAUGUCCAUCGUUGAGGGAUAUACUAUAUUAACCAAGAUAAUGGCUUAUGAAGUCAGAGUGCCAGCUCACUGUUUAGAGUACAAAAAGAGACAACUAAAAAAUCUACAUGACUCACUGUCUAGCUCCAUUCACCUACAAAGCCAAGUAAUUAUCAAAGGAAUGGUUGGCCAUCAAAUUGAAAAGGGAGGUAGAGCUCCUUUAAGCUGCUGGGUUGAGAUAACAAAAUGCAUUUAUUUUCCAAUACAAUCAUCUUCCCUAUCCAGUAGAACUAUAUCAUGGCCGUAAAGCUACCAACUUUACUAGUGCUACCUUAACUCGCCACGGUCAGCAUUUAUAGCUAUGACUUUCUUUUAAAAAAAAAAAAACAAAACACUUCGUGACCAGCCAUCUGUACACCUAACCUAAUUCUCUACAUCUUUUAUCAUCAUCAGUCAUGCUAAAGCCUAAUUGUAAUGCCUGGAAAACUUCUGACUUCUUCAGUGUGACUCUUCCGGGCUCUGCUCUAAUCUGUGUCACCUUCGUCUUUACUUGACCACACUUUGAAGUCCCUCGGAGGCGCCUCACUGUAGAUGUUUCGUUAGAAAACAUUUACUAGUCUCACUUCCAGUGUCAGCUUCUCAUUGCUGUGGCAAAAAUACGUGGGGAAGCCACUUAAAGGAGGAAGGGUUUGGUUUUGGCCACAUCUAAAUAAGUGACAAGUUCCUGAUGGUGGGGAGGGUGAGGUGGCUCAUCACACUGAUGUCUGCAGUCAGGAAGGAGAGAGUGGACAGACCACAAAGCCAGCCUAUAACAUCUCAAAGCCCAUUUUCUCUGGUGGGGCUCUGCCUACUGAAGUCAUCACACUGACUAAGCAAGUGUCCAACCACAGUGUUUCCCCUCACUUGUGAUCUGCGGAAGGAGCCUCCUGGGACAGUAGCCAGCAGCAAGUUGCUUUACUCAUGCGGUGUGGUUUCAAACAAGUUCAUCCUGCAUUAGUCACAGAACACAAGCCUGAUUGUUGAGACCAAAAGCUGAGACAUGAGACAUUAAAGACCUUAAAGGAAUAAAUGUGAAGCAAGAUAUUUUCUGUAGCGACCCAGCUGACAUGACAAUAGCCAUGUUGUUCAUAAAAGCCUUUUUACCCACCAGGUGACCUUUGACACUCAUUCCAAAUCCUAUACGAUAAAGUUACUCAUACACUCAACCAUCAUUAAUGCUGACUGGCUACUACCCCCCUAGACUAUUUCCUUAAUUGAGAUUGGAUAUUUUGAUUGUUUUUGAGAAACCCCAAGGCACAUGACAGGUAGCUAUGACCGCCUAGGUCUAUCUUAGCAUAUAAACUACAGUGACUUGAAUGAGAAGGGCUCCUCUAGGCUGCCAUUUGAAUGCUUGGUCCCCAGUGGGUAGUCUGCUUAGGAAGGAUUACAAAUGGGAGUUGGCUUUGAGGUUUCUAAAGGCCUUGGCAGACCAAAUCCCUCUCUUGUCCUGUCCCUCUCCCUCUCCCCCUCUUUCCUCCCAACGCUCUCUCUGCCUGCUGCCUGUGGACCAGAUACCUCCUGCUCCAGCACCAUGCCUAACUGCCCGCUUCCCUGCUCCGGACCAUGAUGGGUAUGAACUCGACCUCUGAAACUGUAAACAAGUCUCCAGUUAAGUGCCUUAUUUAAAUAAGUUGCCUUGGUUAUGGUGUCUCGUCCCAUAAUCUUCCUUCUGCCUGGGGUUAUCCGUCUCCUGCACGCUGCUGUCCUCAGAGCAUAAAUAAAUUGGCUUUGUCUACCUCUUCUUACAGUCUCUCUACACCUUUCCCUUUUGGCAGCCAGUUCUGGUACACCGUGUUCUCCCAAAACACCUUCAGAACUUCUGAACUAGUCAAGGAUUUCUUUUUAUAAUCAAACAACCAUUUACUUAACUACACAAGAGGAAUGAAGGGCAAGCAUCUCUAGCCCUGGAGGAAGUGCUGUAUGCCCAGGAAAGGGCAGUUUCCUCCUGCUCUAUGGAAGGAGGCCGUGAUAUCUCCCUCUAUCUUUACCAGGUCACAUAAAAGUUUGGGGUGUUAAGGGGAGGCUGACAUUUUUCUUCCCCACUCUGACUACUGGGCUGCAGUGUCUCUAGGACAGCACCACUAUUGCCUCUGGAGUAGCAUGGCACUGAAAGCCAUAUAUGUGCACAUAAGAACUCUCAGCAUCUGUGACAGAAUGAACAAAAUCUGUGCAAAUCCCAGCACGUAGGGGGAAGUCAGGUACACUAUCUCACCCCUAGCUGAGGAGCUAUUGGCAAUUGUUAGCGACUGAGAAUGAAGGACUUUCUCUAAGUGUAUAGCCCCUGAUAAAUUAGCCACUGUGGAAGGCCUUAUAGUCAAAAAUACUUGUACAACACAAAUUGGCCUACGUAGGAGAGGGAGAAAGUACACAAAGUUGGGUGAGAAAGGAAGUGUGUGGACCUGGGAAGAGUUAGGGGAGAGAAGGCACAUAUGAUCAAAACUCAUUGUAUAAAUUCUCAACUAAUAAAAAGAUAUGUUUUUUAAAAAGCCAGUUUUAGGAAGGUAUUAUUAAUAUAUAUUAAGGCAGCAGAAAAGCACAUCUAAACAAACUUGUUCCUUCUGAGAGAAAAACUUGUUGGAAAAGGAAAGUAUCCUGGAAUAGUCUUUUAAUGCCUGGGAAGAAGACACGCGAUCUCCCUAGCAGAAUACUACACUAUGCAAGUGUGAAUGAGAAUCCUAGUGGUUCCCACAGGUGCCAUGUGAGGGUGAAGGAGAAGGGGCUGUGGUUUGGCCUCACCACCUGGUGGCUUUUGUAGCUGUGUUUCCACAUUACUCCUGAUUAUAUCUGAGAGCCAUUUCCCCAACAACCGCACCCAAAGGCUAGAAGAAGCAUCAGCUAUCCCUUUCCAAGUCUCUGUAGGAGAGCGAAGGAGCUCCUCAUUGCAGACGUCACACUGGGCAAGUGUGCAUCCUGUACCCUUUCCUGCAUAUACCGCAAGGGUCGGGAGGAGCUUCAGCUUUUCUUAAAAACGCUUGUGAAUUUGUUCACAGAGCAGAAGGUACAAAUGCCCGAGGGGUGGCCAGCACUGUGUAAUGUGGAGGAUUCCCCAGUGAUGUAACCCUCUUGUGGGCUCACUCCAGCAGCCUGCUUCCUGUGUGUGGGAGUCUGUGCUGAGAGACUCCAUGGAAGUUGAGCAAUACAGCAGUCUCUGCUAGCAGUGGGGUUUUAUUUCAGCCCCUCUGGAAGCCCAGUUGGUUGCUGUUUAGCUUGAUUUUGCAGAGUCUACUUACUGGCAUAUCGGUCAGUACUCUUUUGGCUGGGAACUAGUUUGAUAUUGUUUAGCAUUCAUUUGCUUGCGUGUGGGUCCACAUGCUGUGUCAUGCAUGUGAAAGUUAGAGAACAGCCUCCGGGAGUCCGCUCUCUCCUUGCACCAGGUGUGCUCCGGGUACUGAACUCGGGCUGUUAGGCUUGGCCACAAUCCCAAGGUUCCCAUACAUAGGUGGGCCCUGGUGCUUUUAGGCCUUUGUGGAUGCAGCACAUCAUGGCAGGAGAGUGUGCUGGAGCGCAACUGAGCAUCUUUUGGCUGGGAAAGGAAGGAGAGAGAGAAGAGGGGUCUUGGGUACCACUAUGUCCUUCAAGGAUAUUUCCCUGUUGACCUGAACACCUCCCACCAGCACUCACCUCUCGAAAGUCACAGCACCUCACUGGGAACCAAACAGUGACACAAGGUCCUUGGGGACACUUAAGAUGUAACCACACGAGUGUAUUCUCUCCCAUUUCCAGACUGUGUGCCUCAGUGGUGACAUUUUUUUUCUUAAGGAGGGUCCAUCUUUCCUCAAAACUGCCAUCCACAUACACUCAGCACUUAAAAAUAAGACAGAAAUCCCUGUUCCCACGGGGGUUAGUUUCUAGUGGGCUGGGAAGGAAUCAGAAGAGGAAAUAUAACAAGAAAUAUGAAUAGUUUCAUUCACAAUUUGUAAUGUUCCCAGCAACAGUGCUAUCAAGAGAACAUCAGUAGUUUGGAUCUGUUGCAUCGUGAUUCCAGAUUUACUCUGGGCACUGUUAGCUCUAAAAAAGGAAGUCUGCAGACUUCAAAAGCGUUGUCUUCUAGAGGCAUCACAGUGUUAAAUUUCAGGUCAGUAGUGACAGGUUAAAAAGACACAGAGGGAGAAAAGGCUUCCACAAGGACUUGGUGCUUGAGGGGGAAAGUGGGCAGGCGGGUGGUGGUCCCUGAGGACAGUGGGCAGGCGGGUGGUGGUCCCUGAGGACAGUGGGCAGGCGGGUGGUGGUCCCUGAGGCCAGAAACUGACUUUUCUAAGGCUGACUCCCGACCUCCAGCAGUUUCAUUUUUUUGUGCAACCAGGGAGCCCCAGUCACUUUCCCGGCAACCUAGCCACAGUGUCUCCAGCAGAUGCCAGAGAACAGGAUGCCUCAGUGACUGCUGCUUCCCUGUGUCUGAACUGAGCGCUCUCCUGCAGUCUGAGCCGGCUUAGGCCGUAGCAGAGGACUUCCUUCUGCUGCCUGCCUCACUCAGGGGCAGUGGCUACUCCUUAUGCUUGAUUCCUACGUCCUUUAAAGUCCUCUUUACUUCUUGACCUGGCCCCUCAAUUACUUUGUUCUCUUAUUUAGUUCAUUCUUUAUAUUGAACUUUUCUGUUUAACUUACCGUGGGUUUUUCUGUUUUGAUUGGACCUAGGCAGAGAGAAGAAAAUAAUGUUAAAUAAACAAAAUAUUAAAGCUUGUAGACUGUUUCUCUGAAAAUGCAUAUGAGACAAUUUUCAUGAAUCUAUUAGAGUCUAAGGCUUAAAGGGAUCAUCUCGUCAAAUUCUGUAGCAACUUGAAGUGGGCCUAAAUUAUUGCCUUUAUUGCUGCUGAGUCAAGAUGGAAACCACAGUGUAAGGAGACAGCAAUAGUGCCCUUCCUGGUGCCAAGCAUCAGAAUGACAGACUCACCUCUCAGAUGAGGUAGACCAGGUCAGGCCUUAUUCAGAA